GUUUAUGGCCAUGCCACCCUGAACACGCCUGAUCUCGUCUGAUCUCGGAAGCUAAGCAGGGUCAAGACUGGUUAGUACUUGGAUGAGAGACCACCUAGGAAGACCAGGGGCUGUAGGCG
rnacentral:rRNA from 1 species